rnacentral:rRNA from 1 species
AGCGGCGAACGGGUGAGUAACACGUAGGUGAUCUGCCCAUCAGACGGGGACAACGAUUGGAAACGAUCGCUAAUACCGGAUAGGACGAAAGUUUAAAGGUGCUUCUGGCACCGCUGAUGGAUGAGCCUGCGGCGCAUUAGCUAGUUGGUAGGGUAAAGGCCUACCAAGGCGACGAUGCGUAGCCGACCUGAGAGGGUGAACGGCCACACUGGGACUGAGACACGGCCCAGACUCCUACGGGAGGCAGCAGUAGGGAAUCUUCGGCAAUGGGCGAAAGCCUGACCGAGCAACGCCGCGUGAAUGAUGAAGGCCUUCGGGUUGUAAAAUUCUGUUAUAAGGGAAGAACGACUUUAGUAGGAAAUGGCUAGAGUGUGACGGUACCUUAUGAGAAAGCCACGGCUAACUACGUGCCAGCAGCCGCGGUAAUACGUAGGUGGCGAGCGUUAUCCGGAAUUAUUGGGCGUAAAGAGCGCGCAGGUGGUUGAUUAAGUCUGAUGUGAAAGCCCACGGCUUAACCGUGGAGGGUCAUUGGAAACUGGUCGACUUGAGUGCAGAAGAGGGAAGUGGAAUUCCAUGUGUAGCGGUGAAAUGCGUAGAGAUAUGGAGGAACACCAGUGGCGAAGGCGGCUUCCUGGUCUGUAACUGACACUGAGGCGCGAAAGCGUGGGGAGCAAACAGGAUUAGAUACCCUGGUAGUCCACGCCGUAAACGAUGAGUGCUAAGUGU